rnacentral:tRNA from 1 species
UGCCGAGUAGUCUAAUGGUAGGACGUCUGGCUCUGAACCAGAAAAUUGGGGUUCGAUUCCCUGCUCGGCAG